CUCGUGGCGGCUGCGGCUGCGGCUGCCGAUUUAGCCGCUGCGCGACCUCGGACGGCGGCGGGGCGUCGAGCUGGAAGCGGGAGAGUUGGAGAUGCCCGCAUCGACCACGGGUCCGGUGGCGAUGAGCGGCUGCACGCGUCGAAUCGCAGGCUUCUUUCUUCGUGGCAUCCGAUUGCUCCGUGCCGCGUCAUGAAUUGCAGUUGCAGGAUGAUACUGCUGCUACGCCUGGAGGUCGGGGUAGGCCUCUGUCUCGUGGGCGUGGGCGCACUGGUGGAUGCCCCGGCUCUUGCAAUCUCCUUCCACGCUAUUUGCCACCGCUUCCAUAAAAGGAGCGGAAGGGCCUCACAACAUUGUUCGGGCAAUGGCAAGAAGGAGUCCCAUGUGACUACAGAUAGCAUGGCCGACCGGCCGACUGGCCGGCAGUUUGGUGUCGACGCUCCGUCAAUAUUUCGUCCUCAAUACAGUUUCCUCCAUGCUAUGGCCGGAUCAUAGGAGGACGUGGUGUACCAAUGGAAGUUUCAGCCAAAUCAGUGGCCUGUUGUGGUUGGGUAAUUAGGAUAUAAGUACUGUGGUUUGCAACAACAGAUGCUGCAGGCACUUCCAAUGGUAUAUUCCAGAAAGACAAGUAAGAACUUAUUAGUUCAGUUGCUAAAUUCUUAUUUCAGUAUUUUGUUAAACCAACAAUCUAACCUACCUCUUCUGCAGUUCUUUGUUAUAACCUGUCCGUUCUAAGUCAUAUGUACUUCCUCUUCAACACUAUGAUUUGUACCAGUUUUCAGAUAAACAAAUGUUCUUGACCUCUCUUUUCUUUAAUAGGAAUUCGUGGAAAAUAUUUCCUCUCAACAUAUUGUCAGUUCUAGCUUAUGACUUUCAGGUGGAUGAUUGCUCAAUUUCUGAACGGACUAUUUCUUAUGAAUUACCUCAGAAAAGGUUGAGGCCCUUGGCCGGUGUCAUCAGCCAGAUGGACAAUCUAAAGCUGGAGCUUUGAGACAGACUAGAUUCUUCUAUGACUGAUGUACAUAUUCCAUCUAUUUAUCCGAACUAUAUCUCCUUUGAAGACAGAAGUCUGAUAUAAUCGUUUCAUCAGUGGUUGGCAUCGCUACAUGCUAUACAUCUUUGGGCAGACCAUUUUGAACUUUAUCAAAGAGAGUUAUAUUUUAGUCAGAGAUUGAGGUUGCUAUUGAGCCACAAUUCCUUAGUGCUCCUAUGAAACACUAAUGUAUAUUACAUUUGUAUAAUUGUUUUCUGGCAAGCUUCACAUGAGUAUGACUAAUUGCCAAGUCCAUUCAAAGUACUAUGUAAAAUAUAUGGCGCAUAUACAAAAUAAAGUUACACA